rnacentral:rRNA from 1 species
CCUACGGGUGGCAGCAGUGGGGGAUAUUGCACAAUGGAGGAAACUCUGAUGCAGCGACGCCGCGUGAGGGAAGAAGGUCUUCGGAUUGUAAACCUCUGUCUUUGGGGAAGAAGAUGACGGUACUCAAAGACGAAGCUCCGGCUAACUCCGUGCCAGCAGCCGCGGUAAUACGCAGGGCGCGCAGGUUGUCCGGAAUUACUGGGUGUAAGGGGAGCGUAGGCGGUCGAGGAAUGUGAAUGUAAAAGCUACGGGUUAAACUGGGAGCUGCGUGCAAAACUUGUUGUCUAGAGUGAAGUAGAGGCGGGCAGAAUUCCUAGUGUAGCGGUGAAAUGCGUAGAGAUGAGGAGGAACACCAGUGGCGAAGGCGGCCUCCUGGGCUAUAACUGACGCUGAGGCUCGAAAGCGUGGGGAGCAAACAGGAUUAGAUACCCGAGUAGUC